UACAGAGGUCCCAAGCGUUGUUCGGAUUCACUUGGCGUAAAGGGUGCGUAGGCGGUCGGGUAAGUCUGAUGUGAAAUCUCACAGCUUAACUGUGAAACUGCAUUGGAUACUAUUCGGCUUGAGAGUUGGAGGGGGGACUGGAAUUCUUGGUGUAGCAGUGAAAUGCGUAGAUAUCAAGAGGAACACCAGUGGCGAAGGCGAGUCCCUGGACAACUUCUGACGCUGAGGCACGAAAGCUAGGGGAGCAAACAGG
rnacentral:rRNA from 1 species